rnacentral:lncRNA from 1 species
GUGGGUAUGGUUUCUUGAGAAAAAGUCAAAAGCUUUCUCCAAGUUCGUUCAAUUCAAAGCAGCAAUUGAGAAGGAAAGCGGGCAUCAAAUCAAAACACUGAAAAGAUCAUGGUGGAGAGUUCAUUUACAAACCAUUUAUGGAGUACUGUCGCACCAAUGGAAUCAAGAGGUAGUUGACAGUGCGGUACACACCACAACAAAAUGGCAUAGUAGAACGAAAGAACCGUACAAUUGUGGAGAUGUCAAGAAGCAUGAUGACUGCUAAGAAACUUCCCAACCAACUAUGGGCAGAAGCUAUCAAUACAACAAUCUACAUCCUCAAUAGAUCGGCAACCAAAGCAGUGAAGUACAAAGCACCAUUUCAAGCAUCGCACCACUAAUGGCCGCAAAUAGAUCACCUCAAAGUAUUCAGAUGCAUAGCUUAUGCACACAUCUCUACCCCAAAUCGAGAGAAGUUCGACCCGAAAGGAGAGAAGCUCAUCUUCAUCGAAUAUACCGAUGAAUCCAAAGGCUAUAGACUAUACAAUCCUUUAAAGAUCGAGGUAGUGAUUUCACGAGAUGUUAUCUUCGACGAAAUGGUUGAGUGGAGUUGGGAAACUCGGGAUACCCAACCUCCAUAAAAAAUGAGAUCUUGGAGAAUCCAACAACUACAGCAACAACACUAAAUGAGGCGGAUUAGAUUCCAAGCCAAGGAAGAAGUCCAACAACGAGUCUAACAAGAGACAAUGUUAGAGACGUUUUGACAGAUUCAGACUCACGUAAAUCUCGCUACAUUUUCGCCAGCGCGCCAACAAAUUUCGUAUCAGAGCAGAAACAACAUUUCUGAGAAUUUUUGGCAUCAAAUUAGCCAAAGAAGCUUGGGAAGUCUUUAAGAACGAAUUUCAAGGUUCCAAGAAGGUAAUCUCCAUAAAAUGCCAAAAUCUAUGGCGUCAAUUCAAAAACCUAGCAAUGAAGGAAGGCGAAACCAUGAAAGACUUUCAUUCUCGUGUUGCUGAGAGAUUGAACCAGAUCAAAGUCACUAGAGAUACUAUCGAUGAGAAGAAGAUCGUGGAAAGGAUCCUUCGCAGCCUAACACCGAAGUUUGAGCAUGUUGUCACUGUCAUAGAAGAAACCAAAGAUUUUGGAAAAUUACCCAUGAUGGAGCUUAUGGGAUCACUUGUAGCUCACGAGCAAAGAUUGAGUCGGUUUACCAACCGACAACUCGAGCUAGCUUUUCAAUCCAAGGUCGACAUCAAGGAGAUAAAUCAGCAAAUCAGGAGCAGAAUCACAAAGGAGACAAGUUUCAGAAAAAAUUAGGAAAACCAAAUUUCAAGAAAAACAACAACUAGAGCCAGAAUGAGGAGAAAUCAAGCAAAUCCAACGACGGAUGCAAAAUUUGGAAAAAAUCUGACCAUGCUACCAAAGAAUGCAGGUUUAGGUGGACCAAAUGCAAAAUUCAAAAUCACUCUCAACGAAAUUUGCUGGUUCCAAAACAAGAAAGAAGAAGGCGAAUCAAGCUUUGCACAGAAGGACAAAGAAAAAUUGGUCGCUUACACUUGCUUCAAAGCCGAGCAAAAUUCACAACUUCUAUGGGUGGUGGACAGCGGUUGUAGUAAUCACAUGACUAGAGAUCGGGAGUCCUUCACCGAGAUGGAUGAUACAUAUAAUUGCCAAGUGAAGAUUGGAGACGGUAAAAAGCUGGAAGUUGAAGGAAAGUGUACAAUCAUGGUACAAAGAAAGGAAGGUAACAAAACACUAAUCCAAGAAGUUUUGUAAGUUCCUGAAUUAGCUCAGAAUUUUCUGAGUGUUGGACAACUAAUGCUUAAAAAAUGCAAGCUAUUGUUUGAUAACGAAGAAUGUAAGAUUAUCAACAAAGCCAACAACUCGAAAGUGGAAAAUCUCGAUGACUUCUACCAAGAUGUUUCCUUUCAAAAUGCCGAAGAAUGAAGAAAUAACAAUGAAGAGCAAACGCAUGGAUGAAUCAAUGCGGGGAAAACAGGGUUCGUCGGCAAGUGGAUUCCGAUUCUUCCUCCGAUUCUGGACAUGGAGAUCCUAUUUCUGAUUCACCUCUUCGAGGAAGAGAUAGAAUAUCUGAUUCAAUUAGUAGAUCAGAUGGACACCUAAACUACAAAUGGCUUAAAUUACUGAAGCCGAAAAAUAUGGUGGUCGAUCUUCCCUAAAUCAACAGAGAAGAUAAAGUUUAUGAAGGAUGCAUAUAUGGCAAAAUGCAUCGCUUGCCAUUUCCAAAAACUAAAGCACCACUAGAGUUGAUAUACACUGAUAUUUACGGACCAACUAGAACAACAUUCAUAGGUGGUAAGAUAUACUUUCUUCUAUUUGUGGAUGAUUAUACUAGAAUGAUGUGGGUAUGCUUUCUUGAGAAAAUGUCAGAAGCUUUCUCCAAGUUCCUUCAAUUCAAAGCAGCAGUUGAGAAGGAAAGCAUGCAUCAAAUCAAAACACUCCAAAAAGAUCAUAGUGGAGAGUUCAUCUACAAACCAUUUAUGGAGUACUGUCGCACCAAUGGAAUCAAGAGGUAGUUGACAGUGCGAUACACACCACAACACAAUAACGUAGUAGAACGAAAGAACCGUACUAUUGUGGAGAUGUCAAGAAGCAUGAUGACUGCUAAGAAAACUCCCAAGCAACUCUGGGUAAAAGCUAUCAAUACAACAAUCUACAUCCUCAACAGAUCGCCAACCAAAGCAGUGAAGUACAAAGCACCUUUUCAAGCAUGGCACCACAAAUGGCCGCAAAUAGCUCACCUCAAAGUAUUCGGAUGUAUAACUUAUGCAAACAUCUCUACCCCAAAUCGAGACAAGUUCGACCAGAUAGGAGAGAAGCAAAUCUUCAUUCGAUAUAGCGAUGAAUCCAUAGGCUAUAGACUCUCCAAUCCAUUAAAGAACGAGGUGGUGAUUUCAUGAGAUGUUAUGUUCGACGAAAUGGCCGAUUGGAGUUGGGAAACUCGGGAUACCCAACCUCCAUAAAAAAUGAGAUCUUGGAGAAUCCAACAACUACAGCAACAACACUAAAUGAGGCGGAUUAGAUUCCAAGCCAAGGAAGAAGUCCAACAACGAGUCUAACAAGAGACAAUGUUAGAGACGUCGUGACAGAUUCAGACUCACGUAAAUCUCGCUACAUUUUCGCCAGCGCGCCAACAAAUUUCGUAUCAGAGCUAAAGUUACGCUGAGUAUGCCCUGUGGUUGCGAUUUUAAUAACUGAUCUUACACAUAAAAAAGUUACACUUUAGUACUUUGAUAAUCAUAUUUUAAUCCACCCUCACAAAGUCCUCUGAAAACCUCUACAAAAAAAUCCUCUCAAAAUACUAUGGCAGCACCAUCGUCAAGUUCCAUGUUCGCCAACUCUCCCAAUCAAAUCCCAAUUUUUUAUGGAGAAUUGUACGAAUAUUGGAAAGCACAAGUGGAGACUAUCUUCAUUUCGCAAGAGUUGCGGAAUAUUUUUCAAGAAGGCAUCAAAAAAUCACCACAAGAGGACGACUCCACAUCGACCAGAUAGGAGAGAAGCUCAUCUUCAUUCGAUAUAGCGAUGAAUCCAUAGGCUAUAGACUCUCCAAUCCAUUAAAGAACGAGGUGGUGAUUUCAUGAGAUGUUAUGUUCGACGAAAUGGCCGAUUGGAGUUGGGAAACUCGGGAUACCCAACCUCCAUAAAAAAUGAGAUCUUGGAGAAUCCAACAACUACAGCAACAACACUAAAUGAGGCGGAUUAGAUUCCAAGCCAAGGAAGAAGUCCAACAACGAGUCUAACAAGAGACAAUGUUAGAGACGUUUUGACAGAUUCAGACUCACGUAAAUCUCGCUACAUUUUCGCCAGCGCGCCAACAAAUUUCGUAUCAGAGCUAAAGUUACGCUGAGUAUGCCCUGUGGUUGCGAUUUUAAUAACUGAUCUUACACAUAAAAAAGUUACACUUUAGUACUUUGAUAAUCAUAUUUUAAUCCACCCUCACAAAGUCCUCUGAAAACCUCUACAAAAAAAUCCUCUCAAAAUACUAUGGCAGCACCAUCGUCAAGUUCCAUGUUCGCCAACUCUCCCAAUCAAAUCCCAAUUUUUGAUGGAGAAUUGUACGAAUAUUGGAAAGCACAAGUGGAGACUAUCUUCAUUUCGCAAGAGUUGCGGAAUAUUUUUCAAGAAGGCAUCAAAAAAUCACCACAAGAGGACGACUCCACAUCGACCAGAUAGGAGAGAAGCUCAUCUUCAUUCGAUAUAGCGAUGAAUCCAUAGGCUAUAGACUCUCCAAUCCAUUAAAGAACGAGGUGGUGAUUUCAUGAGAUGUUAUGUUCGACGAAAUGGCCGAUUGGAGUUGGGAAACUCGGGAUACACAACCUCCAUCAAAAAAUGAGAUCCUAGAGAAUCCAACAACUACACCAACAACACAUAAUGAGUUGGAUCAAAAUCUUGUCCAAGGAAGAAGUCCAACAACGAGUCUAACAAGAGACAACGUCAGAGAUAUCGUGAGUGAUUCAGACUCACCUCCAUUAAACGUCAGAUCUUUAAGAGAAAUUUAUGAAUCUUGUCACGUAGCAUAUUUUUCUUAUCAACCUUAUACAUUUGAAGAAGCAGCAAAAGACAAAGUCUGGACAGAAGCAAUGGACACAAAGAUCUCAAUGAUGGAGAAGAACAAGACUUGGGAGCUCGUGGACACACCAAAAUCCAAGCCGGUCAUAGGUCUAAAAUGGAUCUACAAGACACAAUUUAACAAAGAUGGUUCCAUCCAGAAGCACAAAGCAAGAUUGGUGGCAAAAGGCUAUUCACAACAGUGUGGCCUCGACUUUCACGAAACCUUCACACCAGUAGUGCGGAUGAAGACAAUAAGAACAGUCAUAGCACUAGCAGCUCAAAUGGAGUUACCAAUAUUCUAGGUAGACGUCAAGUCAGUAUUGCACAAUGGAACACUAGAAGAAGAAGUCCAUGUGGAACAACCAUGAGGGUACGAGAAGAAAGGAGGAGAAGACAAAGUCUAUCGACUCAAAAAUGUGGUCUACGGAUUUAAACAAGCGUCUCGAGUGUGGAACAACAUAAUUGAUCGCUAUUUUCAAAACAAUGGAUUCCAAAGAAGUCCAAGUGGAGCAUCUCUAUACGUAAAAAAGGGAGAAGAUAAAAUCAUUCUUAUUUUGUGCUUAUAUAUUGAUGACUUGAUCUAUACGGGGCACAAGUCCACAAAUGAUUGAAGAAUUCAAAAGAGCAAUGAUGUUAGAAUUCAAGAUGAAAGACUUGGGACUUAUGAAGUAUUUCCUCGCAAUUCAAAUGAAGCAGAAGCCAUGGGAAAUAUUCAUCUCCUAAGAGAAAUAUACCGAAGAUAUGUUGAAUAGAAUUCACAUGGAAACGUCCAAGCCCAUAGCUACACUAAUGGUACUAAGAGAUAAACUGCAACAAGAUAAUGGAGCAUAAAAAGUUGACAGAAAAAUCUACUGAAGCCUAGUCGGAUCGCUCAUAUAUCUGACACACACAAGACCAGAUAUAUGUCACUCGGUAGUCUCAUUUCAAGAUUUUAAAUGUGC